GACGGUCUCAGUUCGGAUUGAAGGCUGAAAUUCGCCUUCAUGAAGUCGGAAUUGCUAGUAAUGGCAGGUCAGCAUACUGCCGUGAAUACGUUCCCGGGCCUUGUACACACCGCCCGUCACACCAUGAGAGUUGGGAAUACCCGAAGCCUGUGAGCUAACUGUAAGGAGGCAGCAGUCGAAGGUAGAAUCAAUGAUUGGGGUGAAGUCGUAACAAGGUAAC
rnacentral:rRNA from 1 species